rnacentral:misc_RNA from 1 species
UACGGAGGGUGCAAGCGUUGUUCGGAAUUACUGGGCGUAAAGCGCACGUAGGCGGAUUGGCAAGUCAAUUGUGAAAGCCCCGGGCUCAACCUGGGAAUGGCAGUUGAAACUGCUAAUCUUGAAUGCCUGAGGGGAUGGCGGAAUUCCUGGUGUAGUAGUGAAAUACGUAGAUAUCAGGAGGAACACCUGAGGCGAAGGCGGCUAUCUGGCGGUGCAUUGACGCUGAGGUGCGAAAGUGUGGGUAGCAAACAGG